rnacentral:rRNA from 1 species
UACGUAGGGUGCAAGCGUUAAUCGGAAUUACUGGGCGUAAAGCGUGCGCAGGCGGUUGGGUAAGACAGAUGUGAAAUCCCCGGGCUUAACCUGGGAACUGCAUUUGUGACUGUCCGACUCGAGUAUGUCAGAGGGGGGUGGAAUUCCAAGUGUAGCAGUGAAAUGCGUAGAUAUUUGGAAGAACACCGAUGGCGAAGGCAGCCCCCUGGGGCAAAACUGACGCUCAUGCACGAAAGCGUGGGGAGCAAACAGG